CCUACGGGGGGCAGCAGUGGGGAAUAUUGCACAAUGGGGGAAACCCUGAUGCAGCAACGCCGCGUGAGUGAUGACGGCCUUCGGGUUGUAAAGCUCUGUCUUCAGGGACGAUAAUGACGGUACCUGAGGAGGAAGCCACGGCUAACUACGUGCCAGCAGCCGCGGUAAUACGGAGGAUGCGAGCGUUAUCCGGAUUUAUUGGGUUUAAAGGGUGCGUAGGCGGUCCGGAAAGUCAGCGGUAAAAGCCCGGGGCUCAACCCCGGCGAGCCGUUGAAACUGUCGGACUAGAGACGGCGAGAAGUACGCGGAAUGCGCGGUGUAGCGGUGAAAUGCAUAGAUAUCGCGCAGAACUCCGAUUGCGAAGGCAGCGUACCGGCGCCGGACUGACGCUGAGGCACGAAAGCGUGGGUAUCGAACAGGAUUAGAUACCCCAGUAGUC
rnacentral:rRNA from 1 species